rnacentral:rRNA from 1 species
AGAGUUUGAUCCUGGCUCAGGACGAACGCUGGCGGCGUGCUUAACACAUGCAAGUCGAACGGAAAGGCCCGCUUGCGGGUACUCGAGUGGCGAACGGGUGAGUAACACGUGGGCAACCUGCCCUCAGCUCUGGGAUAACUCCGGGAAACCGGUGCUAAUACUGGAUAUCGACUUCUGCCUCGCAUGGGGUGUUGUUGAAAGUUUUUCGGCUGGGGAUGGGCCCGCGGCCUAUCAGCUUGUUGGUGGGGUGAUGGCCUACCAAGGCAACGACGGGUAGCCGGCCUGAGAGGGCGACCGGCCACACUGGGACUGAGACACGGCCCAGACUCCUACGGGAGGCAGCAGUGGGGAAUAUUGCGCAAUGGGCGGAAGCCUGACGCAGCGACGCCGCGUGAGGGAUGACGGCCUUCGGGUUGUAAACCUCUUUCAGCUCUGACGAAGCGAGAGUGACGGUAGGAGCAGAAGAAGCACCGGCCAACUACGUGCCAGCAGCCGCGGUAAU